UACGGAGGGUGCAAGCGUUAUCCGGAUUCACUGGGCUUAAAGGGUGCGUAGGCGGGCAUGUAAGUCAGUGGUGAAAUCUUCGAGCUUAACUCGGAAACUGCCGUUGAUACUAUCUGUCUUGAAUACCGUGGAGGUGAGCGGAAUAUGUCAUGUAGCGGUGAAAUGCUUAGAUAUGACAUAGAACACCAAUUGCGAAGGCAGCUCGUUACACGAAUAUUGACUCUGAGGCACGAAAGCGUGGGGAUCAAACAGG
rnacentral:rRNA from 1 species